GGCCACGGCUGGAGGGGCGGGCUGGGGCGGGACCGUAACGCCCGCGGGGCCGGAGCUCCUCAGACGCUUCGUAAGACGCGCCUGCUUAUAGGCUGCGACGGAGGUAGGCGUCUCGGACUUGAAGACGGCCUCGACAGCAGAGCUCUCUCAUUGGUCGGUAAGAGAAAACAAAGCAGAGGUCUGAUUGGUGAGAGCUCUGUAGCUCCUCUCCCUCUCCCCUCAAUCAUCGGCAGCUCCGCCCCUACCCGCUCGGUUCCCAGGUGGCUGCCGAAUACGUUGUCUUACAGACCUGCAGUCUCCGAAGCGAAGAAACCCGGAUACCCAGGUUUCUUUGCCAGAGUCACCAAAGAAGUGGACAUUCAUUCACCAGGCCAGCCUAUCAGGCAUAGAUCUAGUAAGAACCUACUAUUUUGCAGGGAUAGGCUAGUUGUGGGGGUAUAAUAUUGAGUAUGAUACCAACCCAGGUGGAUCUAGAGACAAAUUGUUACUGCACAAGUGGUUAGGAAAUCAAGGGUGCUAUGGGAACAGAAUCCAGAAAGGGCCAAGGAGAUCAUCCUGAAAGAAAUGAGGGAUCACUGAAUCAGUAGGGCGUCAUCCCAGUGAAAGGCUACAGGUUCUAGAUCCAGGGAGCCACAACAAAGGAACAUUGGGCCACAGUCCAGAAGAAGGAAAUCUAAGGCAAAGCCUUAGAAAAGCAUUGCAGAAAAAAUCAACUUUCCCCACAUCGCAAGUUUGCCUAGCAUGGAUGAGCCCAGAAUGUGGAAACAAAAAUCCAAUUAGGAGCAGCAUUCUGAAAGCAUAAGAGCUGAGCAAAGCAUGAGAAGAAACAGACUGUUGUUUCACAUUAUCUCCUUCGUUUCUUCAAUACAAGUCAUUAAAAAUUGCACACACACCCUUAUAACUAUGACAUUCCUUUUAGGAUAGUAAUGAGUUAACAGUAUUAAUCCUAUUUGGCCAGAAUUAGGACAGAGCUGAAGCCCUCGGAGUUAGAGAUCUGUUCUACCAGUUCUGGCCUUUCUCGUGCUUCUGACCAUGGCUUUCUCUUUACUGGUUGAACUCACACCAUUACCAGAUAUCUGUAAGAAAA